rnacentral:rRNA from 1 species
AUUGAACGCUGGCGGCAGGCCUAACACAUGCAAGUCGAGCGAGCGGCGGACGGGUGAGUAAUGUCUGGGAAACUGCCUGAUGGAGGGGGAUAACUACUGGAAACGGUAGCUAAUACCGCAUACCAUCAGAUGUGCCCAGAUUGGGUUAGCUAGUAGGUGGGGUAACGGCUCACCUAGGCGACGAUCCCUAGCUGGUCUGAGAGGAUGACCAGCCACACUGGAACUGAGACACGGCCCAGACUCUGACGGGAGGCAGCAGUGGGGAAUAUUGCACAAUGGGCGCAAGCCGUAUGCAGCCAUGCCGCGUGUGUGAAGAAGGCCUUCGGGUUGUAAAGCACUUUAAGUUGGGAGGCGUUACCCACAGAAUAAGCACCGGCUAACUCCGUGCCAGCAGCCGCGGUAAUUC